CCGCCGCCUAUUAAGCUAAAUGAGGUCCUUCCCUCACAAGUGCCUGGUGCACAAUGGCUUCAGACAGCCAUCUUCUUGGUAGUGUCUGCAGUCUGUUGCUGGUAAGGGUUGCACCAAGGACCUUGGAAACACAU